CAUGUACUCUCUUUCUUUGAAAAAGUUUGUCUCUCAAAUAGAUGUAUCUAGCACCAAGUUAGUGCUAGAUACGUCCAUUUAAAGGACAAGUUUGAGAUAAUUUUUUUCAAACGGAGGGAGUAGCCA
rnacentral:pre_miRNA from 1 species